rnacentral:rRNA from 1 species
UACGAGGGGGGCAAAUGUUGUUCGGAAUCACUGGGCGUAAAGGGAGCGUAGGCGGGUGUUUAAGACAGGUGUGAAAUCCCCGGGCUUAACCUGGGAAUUGCAUUUGUGACUGCACGGCUAGAGUGUGUCAGAGGGGGGUAGAAUUCCACGCGUAGCAGUGAAAUGCGUAGAUAUGCGGAGGAACACCGAUGGCGAAGGCAAUCCCCUGGGCCUGCACUGACGCUCAUGCACGAAAGCGUGGGGAGCAAACAGG